AGAGUUUGAUUCUGGCUCAGGAUGAACGCUAGCGACAGGCCUAACACAUGCAAGUCGAGGGGCAGCACAAGGAGUAAUCUGAGGUGGCGACCGGCGCACGGGUGAGUAACACGUAUGCAACCUGGCUGUAAGAGGGGAAUAACCCGGAGAAAUCCGGACUAAUACCGCAUAAUACUUAGAAUCCGCACGGAUUUUAAGUUAAACAUUUAUGGCUUACAGAUGGGCAUGCGUAUGAUUAGCUGGUUGGAGAGGUAACGGCUCCCCAAGGCAACGAUCAUUAGGGGUUCUGAGAGGAAGGUCCCCCACACUGGUACUGAGACACGGACCAGACUCCUACGGGAGGCAGCAGUGAGGAAUAUUGGUCAAUGGACGCAAGUCUGAACCAGCCAAAGUCGCGUGAAGGAAGAAUGUCCUAUGGAUUGUAAACUUCUUUUGAAGGGGAAUAAAGUACGGUACGUGUACCAUUUUGUAUGUACCCUUCGAAUAAGGAUCGGCUAACUCCGUGCCAGCCGCCGC
rnacentral:rRNA from 1 species